rnacentral:rRNA from 1 species
GACGAACGCUGGCGGCGUGCUUAACACAUGCAAGUCGAAGAUAGUGGCGAACGGGUGGGUAAUACGUGGGUAACCUGCCCUCCUUUUUGGGAUAAGCCUUGACAACGGAGUCUAAUACAGAAUAAAGGGGGAUGGGCUCGCGGCCUGUCCGCUUGUUGGUGAGGUGCUGGCCUACCAAGGCGGUGACGGGUAGCCGGACUGAGAGGGUGAACUGCGACAUUGGGACUGAGAUACGGCCCAGACGCUGAAGCGAGGGAGAAUCGGGGGAUAUUGCACAAUGGGUGAACGCCCGAUGCAGCGACGCUGAGGAGGGGAUGAAGGCUUUCUGGUUGUAAACCUCUUUCGCUAUCGAACGGGUAUGUGGAGAAGAAGCGCCGGCUAACUACGUGCCAGCAGCCGCGGUAAUAC